rnacentral:rRNA from 1 species
GACGAACGCUGGCGGCGUGCUUAACACAUGCAAGUCGAACGGAAAGGCCCUGCUUUUGUGGGGUGCUCGAGUGGCGAACGGGUGAGUAACACGUGAGUAACCUGCCCUUGACUUUGGGAUAACUUCAGGAAACUGGGGCUAAUACCGGAUAGGAGCUCCUGCUGCAUGGUGUGGGUUGGAAAGUUUCGGCGGUUGGGGAUGGACUCGCGGCUUAUCAGCUUCUUGGUGGGGUAGUGGCUUACCAAGGCUUUGACGGGUAGCCGGCCUGAGAGGGUGACCGGCCACAUUGGGACUGAGAUACGGCCCAGACUCCUACGGGAGGCAGCAGUGGGGAAUAUUGCGGAAUGGGCGGGAGCCUGAUGCAGCAACGCCGCGUGCGGGAUGACGGCCUUCGGGUUGUAAACCGCUUUCGCAUGUGACGAAGCGUGAGUGACGGUAAUGGGUAAAGAAGCAACGGCUAACUACGUG